UGGCCUACGGGAGGCAGCAGUGAGGAAUAUUGGUCAAUGGCCGAGAGGCUGAACCAGCCAAGUCGCGUGAGGGAAGACGGCCCUACGGGUUGUAAACCUCUUUUGUCGGGGAGCAAAGCGAACCACGUGUGGUUCAUUGAGAGUACCCGAAGAAAAAGCAUCGGCUAACUCCGUGCCAGCAGCCGCGGUAAUACGGAGGAUGCGAGCGUUAUCCGGAUUUAUUGGGUUUAAAGGGUGCGCAGGCGGGCUGUUAAGCCGGCGGGAAAACUUCAGGGCUCAACCCUGU
rnacentral:rRNA from 1 species